CCUGAUCCCAUCCCGAACUCAGUAGUGAAACGACGCAUCGCCGAUGGUAGUGUGGAGUUUCUCCAUGUGAGAGUAGGUCAUCGUCAAGC
rnacentral:rRNA from 1 species